GUUAUAUUAGGUUGGUGCAAAAGUAAUUGUGUUUUUUGCCAUUUGCGUAACAUAAAAGUAACGGCAAAAACCACAUUUACUUUUGCACCAACCUAAUAAA
ensembl:miRNA